CCCUUAGAUGUUCUGGGCCGCACGCGCGCUACACUGACAGGGCCAGCGAGUACAUCACCUUAACCGAGAGGUUUGGGUAAUCUUGUUAAACCCUGUCGUGCUAGGGAUAGAGCAUUGCAAUUAUUGCUCUUCAACGAGGAAUGCCUAGUAGGCACGAGUCAUCAGCUCGUGCCGAUUACGUCCCUGCCCUUUGUACACACCGCCCGUCGCUACUACCGAUUGAAUGGCUCAGUGAGGCCUUGGGAUUGGCUUAGGAGGGUUGGCAACGACCCCCCAGAGCCGAAAACUUGGUCAAACUCGGUCAUUUAGAGGAAGUAAAAGUCGUAACA
rnacentral:rRNA from 1 species